rnacentral:misc_RNA from 1 species
AAGUCGUAACAAGGUUUCCGUAGGUGAACCUGCGGAAGGAUCAUUAACACGUAUCCAAACGUUAAAACCCCCCCCGUGAACCUUCAUCCUGCUCUUGUAACCCGCGUAGUUCGCAAUCUCUGAUAAAUCAUAGCCCGGAAAGUUGUAGUGAUUCAGAGACCUCUGGCUACGUGCGAACAUUGGAACAGUUACAAUCGAGCGGUAGUUCUAUAGGCAAUGUUUCCCCAAGCGGUCUACAGGAAUCGUAGAAGCGCUAUCCUUGCACAAUUAAUAACACCGUACACUUUGCCAAAGGGUCCCCAUGCCCCCUAAUAACCCCACAGUUUAAUGUGAAGCUCAAUGUAAUAACCGAACAAACUGUUAACAAUGGAUAUCUUGGUUCUC